rnacentral:lncRNA from 1 species
GGGAGCCACUUCAGAACCCAGAAGGAGAGAGCCCUAUGGAGAGGAGCUGGGAUCUUUGGUUGAAGGAGCAGAAAUCCUGAAGUGGCCUAGCAGGGAAAGGAGCUGAGGAAAUAAAUACCUCUGUCCCCCGCUAGCUCCUGCUGGGCUUCCUAUUGGCUGAACCUAAUGGGAAGCCAGUGGGCAAGGGAGACAGACCCCACCAGAAGAGGAAAUGAAGACAUAGAGAUGUACAGAGGACACCAUUUGAAGACACAGAGAGAAGAUGGCCACCUAAAAGCCCAGGGCAGAGGCCUCAGAAGAAAUCAUCUCUUUGAUCUUGGACUCUCGGCCUCCAGAAUCAUGAGAAAAUAAAUGUCUGUUAUUUAAGUCACUCAGUAUGUGGUACUUUGUUAUGGCAGCCCUAGUGGACUAAUAGAGGAGGAUUCGUUUCCACAAGGAAGGCUGAAAUCUUGACCAGGGAGAAGCUGGUAGCUCCAGCCUGCAGCAACUAUCUUUCCUUCAUCUGGU